rnacentral:rRNA from 1 species
GAUGAACGCUAGCGGGAGGCCUAACACAUGCAAGUCGAGCGGUAGAGAUGCUUCGGAUUCUUGAGAGCGGCGUACGGGUGCGGAACACGCCUGCAACCUGCCUUUAUCAGGGGGAUAGCCUUCCGAAAGGAAGAUUAAUUCCCCAAAAUAUAUUUGAUGGCAUCAUUAGAUAUUGAAAGAUCUGGCGGAUUGAGAUGGGCACGCGCAAGAUUAGCUAGUUGGUGAGGUAACGGCUUACCAAGUCGAUGAUCUGUAGGGGGGCUGAGAGGGUGAUCCACCAGAAUGGUACUGAGACACGGACCAGACUGGUAGGGGAGGCAGGGGUGAGGAAUAUAGGACAGUGGGUUAGCGCCUGAUCCAGCCAUCCCGCGUGAAGGACGACGGCCCUAGGGGUUGUAAACUUCUUUUGUACAGGGAUAAAACUACUCUCGUGAGAGUAGCUGAAGGUACUGUACGAAUAAGCACCGGCUAACUCCGUG